UCGAAAGAGCGGAGCGGUUCGCAAUUGAAUCUCAGGGAGUCGCUGAAACCGAGCUCCCCACCACGACUCCUUCACUUUUCCCCCUCCCCAACAUGCCGGUUCGAUCCAAUCUGAUCGCAUCCUAGGACCUCCCCCGACCAUGGAACCCUAGCGCUGCGCCGCCGCCGCCGCCAUAGUUCCCCGACCACCCCUGCAACCCCACCAUCUCCUCGCCCCUCCUCAUCCCCGACCAAAUUCUCACCCCUGCAACCUCGCCAUCUCCUCGCCCCCUCCUCAUCCAAGGCAGCUUUCUACUCGGUAAUAACUUUGGGGGCAUACAGGUUGUGUGGACCUCUGGCGACUGAGAUCACCAGGGCCUCGUCCUCGUCGCCGGGAGCUCGGAUUCAUCGUCAGCAAGGCCUGCAUCCACGCCUACAUCACAUCUAGCAAGUUUUCCUGAAGAUUGUCUGUCGAUUGGAGUGACGAUAACACUACGAUCUUGACCGAGCUCUUUGUCCAGCAAGUGCAUGACACUUGACCCAAAAUGCUUACGAGGAAGUUGCAAAGGAUUUCAAAAUCAGAACAGGUCUGGAGUACACCAGGCUCCAGUUGAAGAACAAGUGGGAUAAGUUGAAGACUGGUUACAGCAAUUUCAGAAAGCUCAAGUUGAAGGAGACCGGUGGUGGUUGGGACUAUCAGAGAAACACCAUCAAGCAAGAUGCUGAAUGGUGGAAGAAAGCAAAGAUAGACAUUCCUGGCUGUGGCAAGUUCCAAAAGCGUGGACUACAAAAUGAGAAUAACUUAUCUAUCAUGUUUGGUGACAUCACGAGUGAUGGUACAGAUCACUGGAAUCCAUGUGCCUGAUUUUCAACGAGGUGUGGCGCCAAGAACACCUAAGGAGAAAUUUAACAAGAUACACUCAUCCAAGCUUAAUGUGAUCGAGAGAGCGUUUGGCGUGUGGAAAAUGAAGCGGCAGAUUCUACUAAAGAUGCCCAAUUAUUCGGUUGAAACUCAGAAGAUGAUAGUGGCUGCAACUAUGACCCUUCACAACUAUGUUCGAUAUCAUGAUAAGGGCGAUCUUCACUUUCUUCAAGUCGACAGAGAUCCCAGCUAUGUCCCAACUAUCCCUUCAAGGUAUCAACGGUACGCCAUCCCUCCA